GAGAGGCCAACGACGACCCGAUGACAGGGACGGGGGACCCAAUUUUUGGGUGCUGGAGACAGCGCCCUUGGGGUGAAGCCCGACGGACCUCGGUCCGGAGGGCCGGGUGACUCUUCCACCCGAACCCGACAGCUGACCUCGCAGGCGUCCAGGAGAGGCACC
rnacentral:sRNA from 2 species